GGGGUUGGGGAUUUAGCUCAGUGGUAGAGCGCUUGCCUAGGAAGCGCAAGGCCCUGGGUUCGGUCCCCAGCUCCG
rnacentral:tRNA from 1 species